rnacentral:rRNA from 1 species
GAUGAACGCUAGCGGGAGGCUUAACACAUGCAAGUCGAGGGGUAUGAUAGCAAUAUCAGAGACCGGCGCACGGGUGAGUAACGCGUAUGCAACCUGCCCUUUACAGGGGGAUAGCCCGUCGAAAGGCGGAUUAAUACCCCAUAUACUGGGACCCCUGCAUGAGGGAUCCAGGAAAGCUUAGGCGGUAAAGGGUGGGCAUGCGUGACAUUAGCUAGUUGGUAGGGUAACGGCCUACCAAGGCGAUGAUGUCUAGGGGAUCUGAGAGGAAGGUCCCCCACACUGGUACUGAGCCACGGACGAGAGUCAUACGGGAGGCAGCAGUGAGGAAUAUUGGUCAAUGGGCGCGAGCCUGACCCGGCCAUCCCGCGUGCAGGAAGACGGCCCUAUGGGUUGUAAACUGCUUUUGUGCAGGAAGAAAGUGCUCAUCGUGAUGGGUAUUGACGGUACUGCAUGAAUAAGCACCGGCUAACUCCGUGCCAGCAGCCGCCGUAACAC